AAAAAACAAAAGAUGCUUUCUUAACUCUUUCAAAUAAGCUACAAAUGUAAGCAAAUGAUGCCACUUAUUUACAGAGGACAUACAUUACAUGUAUUGACAUCCUUUAUUUUCUAAGUGCAAUGUUCUUUAGAGGUUUAAAGUUAUACAUGUCACUGUUCUUUCCAGAUGCGUCCUGCCACUUUCAGCCUCAGCUCCUGCUGAUCAACCCCGGAAAAGAAAAGUGCCAUAUUUCUCUGAAUGAUUAGUCCGUCUUCGCUAUCUCGAACUUUCUUAUGGCUAUCACGGAUGCUUCUUGGAAUUCCUUGCCAGGUAAGCUUUCUGCCAUUUCCACCAACUUCCAGGCUGUAACUAAAUUGCCUUGCCUCGUCUUCAUUGCCCAUGAAUCUCAGGAAGGCCAUGUAAACAGGUGCCAUUCCUAGUUGAAACGCCUCGAAGUGCAAGCAAAACUGUCUGCCAAAGCAAUUGAAAACAGUUAACAUCCAAGUAGCAUUAUCAAUUUCUUGGGGAUUGGAUUUGACAUAUCUGUGAUUGAAGGUACACCCAUCAUGCAUGUCAACCUUGUGAUCAUUCUUGAGAUGCGCAACAAGAAGUGGAAUGUCACCAAUGACAGAACAUUCAGCUCCAGCAUAUGGGCAGUUGUACGGACGAUAUUUGCAGUUCUUUUCAUGCUUUAGCUUGCUGUAGUAUGGAGAUAUAUCGGGGCAACCUACAAUCUGAUAUUUGCAUGGGAGUUCAAGUGACUCGGCAACUUUCUCCAGAGCCAAGCACCUUAUAUUUCCAAGCUCUCCACGGCAAGUGGGGCAAAAGUUGUGUACUCGAGCCUUGCAGUAUGAACAUAGAGUAUGACCAUUGGGACACUGGUAAAUUGGAGGGCACAUUAAACUCAUGCAGACAGGACAUUCAAGCAGGUUCUGCACAUCACUAAUUGAUGAUGUUCCAUGAUUACCACCCAAACAAGUUGCUGGUUUUGUGAAAGGGGAAACUUUGAAUUCUGCAUUGGAAGUUGAUGAUUCAUAGUCUGCAAAUGCAAUGCGUGACUCUAUCAUCUCCUUAGAGAUGAUACCUCCACGGCCCAUUAUCUCCUAGCUCAAUUGUCAAUGCCAGCACUAUUGUCUCUUAAUUAAAAUAAGUACCACAGUCAUAGUUUUCUGGUAUCAAUGAAUAGGCUUACCCAGAUGAGGAAAAGAGCCCAGAAACUUGAUCAACCACCAAAAAUUGAUUCCCAACAGUGUAAAAAACAGACCAAGUAACGGUAACACCCAGCCAGAUGAAUACCGAAUCCAAAAUCUUGAAUAUUCAAUCAAACUCGAGCACCCAAUAAUUGCAUCAUCUUUGACACCCAAAAGUCCAAAGAAAGCUUGAUAAGAAGCUAAGAAACGUUGUGAGGUGGAGGAAGGAGCGCGAUUGCAGGCCCUCCCGCAAAUUGCGUGUCCCAGCUUGGAACAAACUUCGCGACGCAAAGAGUCAAAGAAAUUGGAUCUGCCAAUCCCCAUGCAGUGACAUAUAUAUAUCGAAAUCAUUAAAUUUUUAGAAGAAUUAUUAAAUUUCUAUUUGUAUUAGGCUAAGUAAUUAAAUCAUAUUCUUUAUCUUUC
rnacentral:misc_RNA from 1 species